rnacentral:SRP_RNA from 1 species
GCUGGGUGUGGUGGCGUGCACCUGUAAUCCCAGCUACUUUGGAGGCUGAGUGGGGAGGAUCUCUUGAACCUGGGAGGCAGAGGUGGCAGUGAGCCGAUAUUGCAUCACUGCGCUCCAUCGUUGGUUACAGAGUGAGACUUCUCAAAAAAAAAAAAAAAAAAAAAAAUUACUAUCUUAACCAUUUAAAANNNNNNNNNNUUUUAAAUGGUUAAGAUAGUAAUUUUUUUUUUUUUUUUUUUUUUUGAGAAGUCUCACUCUGUAACCAACGAUGGAGCGCAGUGAUGCAAUAUCGGCUCACUGCCACCUCUGCCUCCCAGGUUCAAGAGAUCCUCCCC